GACCUAGAAAGCUGAAGUAUGUAUGUCUAAUCAUGCGCUAGGUUAGAGAGACCAGUGUGUGAAUUUCACAGUCAAGAGAACAAUCGGAUGAUGAGACUGAGGAGUCGGUGAAGUUUAAGAGGUUACACAAGCUGGUAAACUCCACUCGCAGAGUCAGAAAGAAACUAAUUAGGGUGGAAGAAAUGAAAAAACCCAGCACUGAAGGUGGGGAGGAGCACGUGUUUGAGAAUUCGCCGGUCCUGGAUGAACGGUCCGCCCUCUACUCUGGCGUGCACAAGAAGCCCCUUUUCUUUGAUGGCUCUCCUGAGAAACCUCCCGAAGAUGACUCAGACUCUCUCACCACGUCUCCAUCCUCCAGCAGCCUGGACACCUGGGGGGCUGGCCGGAAGUUGGUCAAAACCUUCAGCAAAGGAGAGAGUCGGGGCCUGAUUAAGCCCCCCAAGAAGAUGGGGACAUUCUUCUCCUACCCAGAAGAAGAAAAGGCCCAGAAAGUGUCCCGCUCCCUCACCGAGGGGGAGAUGAAGAAGGGUCUCGGGUCCCUAAGCCACGGGGUAAGUACGGAUGGUGUUUG
rnacentral:sRNA from 1 species